UCUGCUCAAGGGAGUUAAUUCAGACAGUCCAGCUAACCUGGCUCCACUGUUUGCUGAGCUUGUCUCUGAUCCUACGUGGUUUCCUCCAUGGCUGCCUUCAAGCCUGGUUCACUUCUGCUGGAACUUGCUGUACUCGGAGAAAAGAGGGAUGUCCAGGUACAUCUUCCCUUUUUAGCUUUAAAUUGUCUGCCAUAAGAAUGAAGAAAUCUGAAUCAGACCAGCUGAAGCAAAGCCUUUUCUGCAGCCUUGUAAAAACACAGGAGUGACUUAAGAGAAGCUUCACCAGUACUGGCCUCAGCACAGACUAAGG